rnacentral:rRNA from 1 species
GACGAAGGGGGCUAGCGUUGUUCGGAAUUACUGGGCGUAAAGCGUGCGCAGGCGGUUUUGUAAGGCCGAUGGGAAAUCCCCGGGCUCAACCUGGGAAUGGCAUUUGGGACUGCAAGGCUGGAGUGCGGCAGAGGAGACUGGAAUUCCUGGUGUAGCAGUGAAAUGCGUAGAUAUCAGGAGGAAUACCGAUGGCGAAGGCAGGUCUCUGGGCUGACACUGACGCUCAUGCACGAAAGCGUGGGGAGCAAACAGG